rnacentral:rRNA from 1 species
GACGAACGCUGGCGGCGUGCCUAAUACAUGCAAGUAGAACGCUGAAGGAGGAGCUUGCUUCUCUGGAUGAGUUGCGAACGGGUGUGUAACGCGUAGGUAACCUGCCUGGUAGCGGGGGAUAACUAUUGGAAACGAUAGCUAAUACCGCAUAAUAGUAGAUGUUGCAUGACAUUUGCUUAAAAGGUGCAAUUGCAUCACUACCAGAUGGACCUGCGUUGUAUUAGCUAGUUGGUGGGGUAACGGCUCACCAAGGCGACGAUACAUAGCCGACCUGAGAGGGUGAUCGGCCACACUGGGACUGAGACACGGCCCAGACUCCUACGGGAGGCAGCAGUAGGGAAUCUUCGGCAAUGGACGGAAGUCUGACCGAGCAACGCCGCGUGAGUGAAGAAGGUUUUCGGAUCGUAAAGCUCUGUUGUAAGAGAAGAACGAGUGUGAGAGUGGAAAGUUCACACUGUGACGGUAUCUUACCAGAAAGGGACGGCUAACUACGUG